AUGGCCACCGGGCGGAAUAGCACCAUCCAGGGGCUGAGCCGCGUGUGGGGGCGCGGCAGAUGUCGGGGAGGAGCCGCCAAUGUCGCCGGAGCCGAGAGGAGGUUGCUUGGUCUGGGGGAGAAGGGGCGGCAGUGGGUGGAUGGAUCUAAACGGAGGAGGAGAAGAGGAGGUGGUGGCGGCGAUGGAUCCGAUGGGAGGAGGAGACGGGGGAGAAGGGGUGGCAGCGGGUGGAUUGAUCUGUAG
rnacentral:rRNA from 1 species